rfam:Flavobacteriaceae bacterium CRH Contig07, whole genome shotgun sequence.
CCCUAGCCCCGAUAGUAGUGGAAAUCCUUUUGUGCCGGGGUUCGGCACAAAAGAUUGGAACGGAUAGCGGGAAAUAGC